rnacentral:misc_RNA from 1 species
GAUGAAGAACGUAGUGAAAUGCGAUAAGUAGUGUGAAUUGCAGAAUUCAGUGAAUCAUCGAAUCUUUGAACGCACAUUGCGCCCUUUGGUAUUCCUUAGGGCAUGCCUGUUCGAGCGUCAUUUAAACCUUCAAGCUAAGCUUGGUGUUGGGUGACUGUCCGCUUCACGGCGGACUCGCCUCAAAAUUAUUGGCGGCCGGUACAUUGGCUUCGAGCGCAGCAGAAACGCGAACUCGGGCCCGUCGUAUUGGCUCCCAGAAGCUAUCUUCACAAUUUUGACCUCGGAUCAGGUAGGGAUACCCGCUGAACUUAAGCAUAUCAAUAAGGGAGGA